AUGUGGUCCAUCAGUCCACUCUGCAGGAAAAUUUCAGAGGUCUGGCGGCUGCCACCAGAGGAAGGACAACCACUGGGUCUCAGCCUAGGCCAGGAAACAGAAAGAGAUGUUGUACCUAGUUCAUAUUUUUCAAAAGAAGGCUACGAGAUGAGUGGAUCAUCUAGCAAUACUUCUACUGGAGAGACAUUAUUGAGCAAGGCAUUUCCAUUUUACCUAGGAUGCCACAGCUGCUGGGUCAUGCCAUGGAACUGCACGGUUGGCAACACCCUCGCGAGGUCCUCACCCUUGCAAGGAGAGAAGCAGGAUGCUGGGUGCCUGGCCACAGUCCCCAAGCACCCCAAAGCUGUGGUGAGACCCUUGUGUGUCCCAUGUGCCCAGCCAGGAGAGGGCCUCCUCCUCGCCAGCCCUCACAGAGCUGCUGCAGAUGGGGCCAGUGACAGACGAAUCCCCAGCGCCCCGGCCGUGCCAGACGCCUGGCACGUCAGUGUUGCUAAGCGAGGAGAAGUUUUAACGUGUUGAUUAAUGCCCUGACUCUGGGUGAGUAAUUAGAAUUAAUGUGGGAUAUCAAAUCAGGAAAUCAGGCAUUAUUAGGAGGAAUUAGUGAUUUAUUUUCAUUUUACGCCUGGCUCACCCCAAUCCCCCAACACAGACGGGGGAUUUGGCAAGAGAUGAAGUUCCUUACUUACAGCACAAGGAUGAAGAAGUACGUGGUGAUGGGAGGAGGAGAAAGAAAGUGAAGGGACAGCUCCUACACAGUUAAUCUCAUUACAGCCAAGUCUCACCACCACCUGUGGCUGCUGUGAGCAAGGUGCAGAGCAGCAGUGAGGGACCAUCACCACUGCUUGGAGUCCCAGCCGGCUACAGCUGGAGACAUGGCCAAAGCCCAGAAGCUGCUUGAGCAGAGAAGUGCCAUUCUGGCACAAACCUUGGCUCUUCCCUGCUCUGGUUCCUUUUUCUUGUACGACUGUGGAUAGGACAAACAUGCCAGAGGUAAAUUCAUGCCUCAACAACAGGCAACAUGGCAGCACAGCAAAGCAGGGGGGAACCUCACUGGUGCUAAUGCUGGGGGUCUUGGUCCUCAGAGGGAUCCUGCUCUGGCACAGAAAUGGCAGCCAGGUGGUUUCAAGCCCCACUGGGCUGCAGAACCUUUGCCCAAACACCCUGCCACACCACUGCUCCAAAGCUGCUGUCGGUCAGAGCAUGGUUGCAAGCCAGCACGUGUGGCUGACAAACAGCUUGCAGCAGACAGCUUCCCAAGCCACCACAGGGUGAGGGCUGGCUUGAAAUCAUAGAAUUGUUCAGGCUGGAAAAGACCUUUAAGACCCCCAAGUCCACCCAUUAACCACCACCAAGCACCACCAAGUCCACCACUAAACCAUAUUCCUGAAUGCCACAUCUACAUGCCUUUUAAAUACUUCCAUGGAUGCUGACUCCAACACCUCUUUGGGCAGCCUAUUCCAAUGCUUGACAACCCCUUCAGUGAAGAAAUUUUUCCUAAUAUGCAACUUAAGCAUCCCCUGGCACAGCUUGUGGUCAUUGCCUCUUGUCCUAUCACUUGUUACUUGGAGGAAGAUACCAAUCCCCACCUUGCUACAACCUUGGUGAAGGGAGCAGGAAUGCUUGGGGUGGCUUAGCAGGGACAGACAGCAGCAGAAGCAUCCCACUAGCCAUUCAUCACCCAAGCUCUGCAUUUGCAGGGAGAAUUUAAAUGCUAAGGAGAUCAGAGCUGGUGGUGGAGUAGGAGACUCAGAACUGCUGGUGCCCAGCUGGAGUGCUGGUAGGACGAAGCAGGGGGUAACCUCAGGGGGCAGUGCCCCAAAAAGCUCCCUUUCAUGAUCAGACCCGUUUGCAAAUUCAUCUUCUUAGGCAGAAGUUUUAGGCAGAAUUUAUUUUUUCAGUCUUUCUUUUUUUCCCCCAAGAUGAAAAUGUCAUUGGUACAGUUCAUAGUACCCCCUGUAGCAUCUCAGCCGUAUUUAGUGCCUUUGAUAUGUGCAGCGUGCGUCCUCCCUCCCUCCCAUGCAGUGAGAGAGAGCUUCAGGAGCAGUGCUCAAUAUGCACAAAGGCUGUCUCUCAAGAAGUUUAUCUUCACCAAAAAAGGCAGGCAACCUUUCUAUUUAUAAUUACUUUGAGUCUAUAAACAGGUUAAAAAGCCUUCUCUCUCUCUCUCUCUCUUUCCUUUCUGUUCAUUUGCCAGAGAAGAGAGGAAAGCAAACAAGCAUAAUACAAGAUACAGCACUGUGUGGCUCAGUCAGGCUGUGUAGUGGAAAAAUCCUGUGCUGUCCUGGGCAUUGCAGAUGGAGCCUGAGUGCCACAGCUCAGCCCUUGCCUCUCACCUGAAGUUUUCGUCCCAGCCGAAGAGGCAGUCGAUCUGCUCUUGCACAAAAAGAAAGCAAGAUUUAAUCAAUGAGGUGCCCAGAAUAAAACAGUCCCUGCCCUGGCA
rnacentral:lncRNA from 1 species